rnacentral:rRNA from 1 species
CUACGGGGUGCUGCAGUGAGGAAUAUUGCACAAUGGGGGGAACCCUGAUGCAGCAACGCCGCGUGGAGGAUGACGCAUUUCGGUGUGUAAACUCCUUUUAUAUGUCAAGAAAAUGACGGUAGCAUAUGAAUAAGCACCGGCUGAACUCCGUGCCAGCAGCCGCGGUAAUACGGAGGGUGCAAGCGUUACUCGGAAUCACUGGGCGUAAAGGACGCGUAGGCGGGUUGGAAAGUCAGGUGUGAAAUCCUACAGCUUAACUGUAGAACUGCACUUGAAACUUCUAAUCUAGAGUAUGGGAGGGGGAGAUGGAAUUAGUGGUGUAGGGGUAAAAUCCGUAGAUAUCACUAGGAAUACCUAAAGCGAAGGCGAUCUCCUGGAACAUUACUGACGCUAAGGCGUGAAGGCGUGGGGAGCAAACAGGAUUAGAUACCCCAGUAGUC